rnacentral:rRNA from 1 species
UGGGGAAUUUUGGACAAUGGGCGAAAGCCUGAUCCAGCAAUGCCGCGUGUGUGAGGAAGGCCUUCGGGUUGUAAAGCACUUUUGUCCGGAAAGAAAUCCUUGGCUCUAAUACAGUCGGGGGAUGACGGUACCGGAAGAAUAAGCACCGGCUAACUACGUGCCAGCAGCCGCGGUAAUACGUAGGGUGCAAGCGUUAAUCGGAAUUACUGGGCGUAAAGCGUGCGCAGGCGGUUUGCUAAGACCGAUGUGAAAUCCCCGGGCUCAACCUGGGAACUGCAUUGGUGACUGGCAGGCUAGAGUAUGGCAGAGGGGGGUAGAAUUCCACGUGUAGCAGUGAAAUGCGUAGAGAUGUGGAGGAAUACCGAUGGCGAAGGCAGCCCCCUGGGCCAAUACUGACGCUCAUGCACGAAAGCGUGGGGAGCAAACAGGAUUAGAUACCCUGGUAGUCCACGCCCUAAACGAUGUCAACUAGUUGUUGGGGAUUCAUUUCCUUAGUAACGUAGCUAACGCGUGAAGUUGACCGCCUGGGGAGUACGGUCGCAAGAUUAAAACUCAAAUGAAUUGACGGGGUCAUAGCUGUUUCCU